AUGCACCAAUUCAAUAGGGACAUAUAUUAGGGAAGGGGUAUUGGGAGGUUAAAAAGAAUGAGUCUCUGAAAGAAUCAGCAGGGAAAAAUAUCAAGGUCUUCCCCUCAUAAGAAGCCUCAUAAUGAGUAGUAGGAAGAAAUAGUAAAGGAAUCUCAUUGAAGACAUUGCUGAGGUCAGAGAUGGGAGGUGAAGGGACUUAAUAGUCCAUCUGGAUCCUCUUGGACGUUGAAGUCUGGAAUGAGAGUCCAGGAACCACACAGAGUGCAAUUAUGUGAGAUACUAAUGGAAAAGGAAAAGCAAUCUUUUGGGGGCAAUUCACACAGGGGAUAAUAACAUCUGUCCCACAUAUCUCAGAGGACAUCUGGACCCCGAUGUGCCAAAGUAUAAGAUACAUUCACAGCCAGAUUGCCAAGGGGAUGAAAGAGCGGAUAAGCCAUGGAGAAGGGGUUGGAGAGUGUGUGUGUGUACGGGGGGAGCUAUAGGCUACUUUUUAGAAAGGAAAGAGAAAAGGAACAAAAUUAGGACCAUGGGCGUAUGCAAAAGAAAUGGUGAAGGAUAUGAGGGCAUAAAAACGUCAACAGAGGUGCAAACCAGAAGAGUAAAAACUGUUAUAGAAGAAAAGGAAGGAGAAACAAAAGAGGGAAAGAAGCUCAUUGAACUGAAAAUAAAUUGACAAGAUUUAAGUGUGCAGAUUUGUUGGGGAGGGCAUUGUUUGCUAAUGGAAAAAGAACAGCAACUAUGUAUACUUUGCAAAUGUGUUUGAUGAAGGAGAAACGGAGUAGUAGAGAUAAGAAAGAAGAAAGCACUUUGAAAAGUGAGAGGCGCCGCGGCAAGAGGAGGGAGAAUGAACAAAGGGAAGGAACGCUUUAAGGGCGGAGAAAGCUCUGGGACCCGGGGAAAGCAGGCUGGAGGCUGGAGCUUUCGGCUGUUUGCCCUUCACUAUUCACUUAAUUCCCGUUUGGAGUUCGCUGUCAAUCACGCCCCCCGCCAGAGCCCAACCGCGGGAGCCCCUUCCUUCCCGAGACACUCCUUCCAUUAUCCUCGCUAAACCUGCCCGCGCCGCAGGAAUGCCCGCGGAUUGCUCACAUUAAGAAGCAAAUUGAUUAUGAACUGAGUUUUGUCUACCAACAAUUUUUAAUAUGUAAUCUUGUCAUGAGUGAACGAAAGUCAUUAAUAAUACAGUAAGCAAAAUGUGCUACAGUUAACCUUAAAUUAUAACUUACAAAGAG